rnacentral:rRNA from 1 species
GUUUGAUCCUGGCUCAGGAUGAACGCUGGCGGCGUGCCUAAUACAUGCAAGUCGAACGAGGUGCUUUUGUAGCAAUACGAAAGUAUCCUAGUGGCGAACGGGUGAGUAACGCGUUGGUGACCUACCCCAAAGUGUGGGAUAACAGUUCGAAAGAACUGCUAAUACCGCAUGUGGUUAUCGGAUUUAGAAACUGAUAACUAAAGGAGCAAUUCGCUUUGGGAGGGACCUGCGUCCCAUCAGCUAGUUGGUGAGGUAAUGGCUCACCAAGGCUACGACGGGUAGGGGACCUGAGAGGGUGACCCCCCACAAUGGAACUGAAACACGGUCCAUACACCUACGGGUGGCAGCAGUAGGGAAUAUUGCACAAUGGGCGAAAGCCUGAUGCAGCAACGCCGCGUGUGCGAUGAAGGCCCUCGGGGUCUAAAGCACGUUUUCUGAGAGAUGAGCAAAGGACAGUAUCUCAGGAAUAAGUCUCGG